CAAUGAUUCUACUUCCCAAGUAAUUACUUCUGGUCUAUAAAAAAACUCGCUGAAUUUUUUACAAGGGCAGCAGAUCUUCAGGUUGAACCAAUAUCUGUAAAUCCAUGUAGCCCUGUGAGGGACUGUACAGAGGUUACUCUGCCUCUCAACGAGUGACAGCUGGAGAUGGGCAGCAGCCCCCCAUGUUGGUAACAUCCCAGCUCUACAUGAUGUGCACUGACAGCAGAGAUGAAAAUGGGAGCAGCCUGCACAGGAGCCUCAUUUCUGAAACGAUUCCAACAAGAUGUGCUCAGAAAGUGUGAACCGGGUUAGCGCUUGAACUGAAAGUCAAAGAAAAGAUCAAUACCCACCCUAAUGAGCACAGUCAGUAG